rnacentral:misc_RNA from 1 species
AACUUUUGGCAACGGAUCUCUUGGCUCUCGCAUCGAUGAAGAACGCAGCGCAAUGCGCUAAGUAAUGUGAAUUGCAGAAUUCAGUGAAUCAUCGAAUCUUUGAACGCACCUUGCGCCCUUUGGCUAUUCUGAAGGGCAUGCCUGUUUGAGCAUCAUAAACAUCUCAACUCUCACGAUUUCCUGUGAUGAGAUUGGACUUUGGGGGUCUUGUUGGCUUGUGUUCAGCUCCCUUCAAAUCUAUCAGCUUCUCAGUGUUUGGCAGCAUCACAGGUGUGAUAAAUAUCUACGCUUGUGGUUCUUUGCCAGGUCUGUCCUCUCCUUGCAGAGGGCUCACUGGACCUCAUAGAUGUCUCUGCUUGGUGGAGACAGCUGUUUGAAGUUUGGUCUCAAAUCACGUAGGAUUACCCGCUGAACUUAAGCAUAUCAAUAAGCGGAGGCU